rnacentral:rRNA from 1 species
UACGGGGGGAGCAAGCGUUGUUCGGAUUUACUGGGCGUAAAGAGCUCGUAGGCGGUCUGUCGCGUCGGUCGUGAAAACUUGGGGCUUAACCCUGAGCUUGCGGUCGAUACGGGCAUGACUGGAGUUCGGCAGGGGAGACUGGAAUUCCUGGUGUAGCGGUGAAAUGCGCAGAUAUCAGGAGGAACACCGGUGGCGAAGGCAGGUCUCUGGGCCACUACUGACGCUGAGAAGCGAAAGCAUGGGGAGCGAACAGG